GACAGAGGGUGCAAACGUUGGUCGGAAUUACUGGGCGUAAAGCGCGUGUAGGUGGACUGGUGUGUCAGAUGUGAAAUCCCUGGGCUCAACCCAGGAACUGCACCUGAAACUACCAGUCUUGAGUGGUGGAGAGGGAAGUGGAAUUCCUGGUGUAGAGGUGAAAUUCGUAGAUAUCAGGAAGAACACCCGUGGCGAAGGCGGCUCUCUGGGACGGUACUGACGCUGAGACGCGAAAGCGUGGGGAGCGAACAGG
rnacentral:rRNA from 1 species